CUUUACCAUUGCAAACUCCUGUGAGGGUUCAUCUCCCAUUAGUACCACAUUGGCUUAAUCCUUUCAUCAGAACUCCAGCAGGGUUCACUGUCUACCGCUUGUGCCCCAAAUCUGGAAACUGUAGACACUGUAAUAUGGUCCCAUCUUUCACCCAGCCCAGUCUUACGUUACUGCAGUGACUCAGUAAGUAAUAAUAAAUAAAAUAGAAUGGAAUUAGAUCUCCUUACAACAUCCUGCAAGAUUAGCAGUGUGCCUGAAAUAAUACCCAGCUUCUGUUUAAUAGCUUUCAGUUACUUGUAAUAUAGCAAUGUAUCAUGUUUUCUAAGUCUUGUUAAUAUCUUUGUCUUUAGUUCUCCCAAGAGUGUAUUUCAUGUGUGAUAUCAACAUGGCCUUUUGAGGCCUGUUUCCUCAUCUAGAACAUAAAAUAAUAAAGGCAGUGUAAACACAAAUACUUGCAACCCCCUUCUCCCAACUUUCUACAAAAAUACCCUUGAAAACGUUUAAGAAAAAAAAUUGGUAUCAUUCAUAGAAACUUGAAUAGGUAAGAAUAAGUAGAUACACGGGUAAAAAUAGUAGAUACUAGGAGAAAUGUUUACUAUAAAGCAGUGAUGAUGUGGAUUUUUUUUAAUAGCCGACUCAAAUCCCACGUUGAAAAAACUUGUCACGUAAAACAAGAUGAUACCUUAGCUUCCCACCUUCUAACACUCCUUAUUAACUUGUGUAUAAGAAGGCUAUACUAAUAAUUUGAGACAGCUAUUGAGAGUCCCAUCAGAAAAGGCUUUCAUUCUGCAUUUCUUAACUAGUGGCCCUGAAGCUGCACGUCUUGGAACUUUUCCUUAACCAAGAGAACCACAGCUGACAUUCACUGGGGUGGAGAGAGUUGUGGAAGAGAUCCCACCUCUGACCAGAAGAGCAGUGCUGAAUGACAAAGGCAGCGCAAGCAGCCCAGAAAGAUCUUCCGCCCAUCAGCAGAUUUAGAACACUUAGAGCAGGACUUUUUAGAAUUCUCAUCCUCUAUCCUAAGAACUUUGGUCUUACUGCAUGAAAAUCCCUUAGCCUUUUCCACCCUAAGCCUAGAUCUACAGACAUCCUUGCGUUUCCUGGAGAAAUGGAAUGGGCCUGAUAUUUCAGACAAUGUGCUGGAUAUUACAUCAGCACUUUAGUGAACUCUAAAAGAGCUUAAAGCAGUCCCUGUGGUCUGCCAGUUCUGAAAUCAGCCUGGCUAAAUGUGUCCUCAUUGAGAAAUGGUCAAGAGAUUUACGCUACUGGCACUUCACAAAAGAAGGCCAAGAAAGGAUUGCAGUGUCUUUUGGCAGAGGAAGGGAGGAUUGGACGGCAGCCCACCAGGCUCCCCUGUCCCUGGGAUUCUCCAGGCAAGAACACUGGAGUGGGUUGCCAUUUCCUCCUCCAAUGCAUGAAAGUGAAAAGUGAAAGUGAAGUCGCUCAGUCGUGUUCGACUCUUCACGACCCCAUGGACUGCAGCCCACCAAGCUCCUCCACCCAUGGGCUUUUCGAGGGAAGAGUACUGGAAUGAGGUGCCAUUGCCUUCUCCAGGAUUGACCUUAUCUGACACCAAAACUUAGACAAUUUAGUAUCAAAGUUAUACCUUCUGAGUUCACCCAGUAAUACAGAUGCAAACCUAAGAAUUCUAGAAAGUACAAAUAAUACGUCCAAAAAACAAUUUACCAUUUCUAUGUAGGGUUUAUCCUUCAGUGAAAAAGCAGCUUACUUUAAAAAUCAAAACCGUUACUUUAAUGUAUAGCUUAACACGGCCAUAAUGAGAUCUGUUGACCUGUUGGUUGCUUGUCCAUUUUUGUGAUCACACGAAUGCCAUAGACUUUUUAGGAUAUGCGUGGUUUACUCGAAACAGUCACUGGCUGGUGGGGUAGGAUUAGCCUGAUUUACUUAAGUAAAUCAGUGCCUAAUCUUCAUCUCUAACUGUAUGACUCCUGUAUAAUAAGACGGCACAGAAUGGCUAUUGGUGAAGCAAUCAAAGUGUUUAGAACUAUUUCUUAGAAAAAUAGCUAAAUUUACUGAACUCUUAACUAUUUGCCAGGCUAAUUGGUUUGCAUGCAUUUCAAAACCUGUGAAGUAGGUACUAUUAUUCCUGUUUUACAGAAAAGCUGAAGUACAUUCAAAGAAAUGAGUGGGAAAUCAUCUUUUCCAAAAUCACAAGUGGGGAAGCGGGUCAUCUUAUGUAGCCAGUCUUCAUCAAAACCUAUGCUCUUAACCUCUACACCAAGUAUCAACGGCUGUAACAAGGAAUUCAGAAACUACUUCACAAAUUUAUAUUUAUGCAGCAACAGGAAGUCCUUCUAAAAUUAUGGAAUAGCAUUGGAAUAAUGUGUAAUAUUUAGUGAAAGCAAGCAGGAUACAAAAUUAUAUACAUAGUGUGAUUUAUAAUUUUUUUAAGCUAGAAUGAGUUUGAAAACCCAAUGUGUGUGUUUGCUUUUCACUAUUGUCCCUGCUUUUUUUUUUUAAUCUAAAAUGUAUAAAGUAUAUUGUGUCCCCUAUAAGAUCAUAAGUUUUUGUAAACAAACUCUUUAUUUUUGUAACCUCAAGCCGAGCUAUCCUGUUUACACAUAAUGGGUGCAAAAUUUUUGUCCAACUGGAAUACAACAUAAAGGAAUCCUAUGUGUGUUUCUUACUAGAGAUUCUGUAAAGUCCAUAUUCUCUAUAAAUAUUCUAAUAUUUAUAUGCCUUUUUAAAAACUGGGGCCCUACUUAUGAGAUUCAUUUUCAAAGGUUCUGCUAAUUUUAAUUUCAAGUUUAUGUUUUUGUUCUUUUGCGUUCCUAUUGGAGACUAAACAGUCUACAUACAAAUCUCAGUGGUAUUUAAAAAUAAUAGCAUAUAUUGAACUCUAUGUCACUACUGUUCUCAGCACUUGUAAACAUUUUCCCACUUAGCUGUCAUAACAGUUCUAUAAAAUUAAUACUGUAAAGAACAGGGAGAUGAACUUCUGCUAGGAC
ensembl:lncRNA